rnacentral:misc_RNA from 1 species
UGAAACCAAAAGAAAAACUGAACUAGAACUCUAGCAGUUCAAAGGAGCUACGCUGCAGAGCUGCCGGUUUUCCACACAAAGUAUAUACAGAACACACAUAUCUCUAGUGGCAAAUAGAUCAUUGGCCAAUCUGUUUAUGUAUCUAUCUAGCAACCCAGAGGUCAUGACCCAUCAAUCUUAUGAUCUUCAGAGCUAUGACUCUGUAUCUUAUCCCAUUUUCUUGAUCAUGCUCCAGGAAGAACAUUACCUUGUCACUGGGAACAAGAUCUUUCUUCUUAAUAAAGGGAUGCCACAAGGAACGGAGAAGAACUGGUUUUGGAUAUCGUCCAGUGGAACGGGUUGAUAGUUG